GUGAACGCUGGCGGUAGGCCUAACACAUGCAAGUCGAACGGCAGCACAGUAAGAGCUUGCUCUUACGGGUGGCGAGUGGCGGACGGGGGAGGAAUACAUCGGAAUCUACUUUUUCGUGGGGGAUAACGUAGGGAAACUUACGCUAAUACCGCAUACGACCUACGGGUGAAAGCAGGGGAUCUUCGGACCUUGCGCGAUUGAAUGAGCCGAUGUCGGAUUAGCUAGUUGGCGAGGUAAAGGCCCACCAAGGCAACGAUCCGUAGCUGAACUGAGAGGAUGAUCAGCCACACUGGAACUGAGACACGGUCCAGACUCCUACGGGAGGCAGCAGUGGGGAAUCUUGGACAAUGGGCGCAAGCCUGAUCCAGCCAUACCGCGUGGGUGAAGAAGGCCUUCGGGUUGUAAAGCCCUUUUGUUGGGAAAGAAAAGCAGCAGGUUAAUACCCCGCUGUUCUGACGGUACCCAAAGAAUAAGCACCGGCUAACUUCGUG
rnacentral:rRNA from 1 species